CCUACGGGUGGCAGCAGUGGGGAAUAUUGGGCAAUGGGCGCAAGCCUGACCCAGCAACGCCGCGUGAAGGAAGAAGGCUUUCGGGUUGUAAACUUCUUUUAAGGGGGACGAAAAAAUGACGGUACCCCUUGAAUAACCACGGGUUAAUUACGGGCCAGCAGCCGCGGAAAUACGGAGGUGGAAAGCGUUACCCGGAUUUAUUGGGUGUAAAGGGCGUGGAGGGGGGAGGGCAAGUCAGAUGUGAAAACUCAGGGCUCAACCCUGAUCCUGCAUUUGAAAUUGUGUUUCUUGAGUGCUGGAGAGGCAAUCGGAAUUCCGUGUGUAGCGGUGAAAUGCGUAGAUAUACGGAGGAACACCAGUGGCGAAGGCGGAUUGCUGGACAGUAACUGACGCUGAGGCGCGAAAGCGUGGGGAGCAAACAGGAUUAGAUACCCCUGUAGUC
rnacentral:rRNA from 1 species